ACGUAGGAGACGAGCGUUGUCCGGAGUUACUGGGCGUAAAGGGUGCGCAGGCGGCCUGGCGCGUCGCGAGUGAAAUCUCCCGGCUCAACUGGGAGGGUGGUCGCGAGACGGCUGGGCUUGAGGCUUGGAGAGGGGCGUGGAAUUCCGGGUGGAGCGGUGAAAUGCGUAGAGAUCCGGAGGAACACCGACGGCGAAGGCAGCGCCCUGGACAAGACCUGACGCUGAGGCACGAAAGCUCGGGGAGCGAACAGGAUUAGAUACCCUGGUAGUCCGAGCGGUAAACGAUGUCCACCAGGUGUGGGAGGUAUCGACCCCGCCCGCGCCGAAGCUAACGUGAUGAGUGGACCGCCUGGGGAGUACGGCCGCAAGGUUA
rnacentral:rRNA from 1 species